CCUACGGGAGACAGCAGUGGGGAAUAUUGGGCAAUGGGCGCAAGCCUGACCCAGCAACGCCGCGUGAAGGAAGAAGGCUUUCGGGUUGUAAACUUCUUUUCUCAGGGACGAAGCAAGUGACGGUACCUGAGUAAUAAUCCACGGCUAACUACGUGCCAGCAGCCGCGUUAAUACGUAGGUGGCAAGCGUUUUCCGGAUUUACUGGGGGUAAAGGGCGUGUAGGCGGGAAAGCAAGUCAGAUGUGAAAACCAUGGGCUCAACCUGUGGCCUGCAUUUGAAACUGUUUUUCUUGAGUACUGGAGAGGCAGACGGAAUUCCUGGUGUAGCGGUGAAAUGCGUAGAUAUUAGGAGGAACACCAGUGGCGAAGGCGGUCUGCUGGACAGCAACUGACGCUGAGGCGCGAAAGCGUGGGGAGCAAACAGGAUUAGAUACCCCAGUAGUC
rnacentral:rRNA from 1 species